UCGGGAAUAUUGCGCAAUGGAGGAAACUCUGACGCAGUGACGCCGCGUGCAGGAAGAAGGUUUUCGGAUUGUAAACUGCUUUAGACAGGGACGAAAAAUGACGGUACCUGUAGAAUAAGCUCCGGCUAACUACGUGCCAGCAGCCGCGGUAAUACGUAGGGAGCAAGCGUUAUCCGGAUUUAUUGGGUGUAAAGGGUGCGUAGACGGAUUAACAAGUUGGCUGUGAAAUCCCUCGGCUUAACUGAGGAACUGCAACCAAAACUAUUAAUCUUGAGUACUGGAGGGGAAAGUGGAAUUCCUAGUGUAGCGGUGAAAUGCGUAGAUAUUAGGAAGAACACCGGUGGCGAAGGCGACUUUCUGGACAGUAACUGACGUUGAGGCACGAAAGUGUGGGGAGCAAACAGGAUUAGAUACCCUGGUAGU
rnacentral:rRNA from 1 species